rnacentral:tRNA from 1 species
GCUUUUGUAGUUAAAAAAUAACAGUGGUUUUUCAAGCCUCUUUUCUUGGUUAAAAUCCUGGCAAGAGUU